rnacentral:rRNA from 1 species
AUUGAACGCUGGCGGCAGGCCUAACACAUGCAAGUCGAGCGAGCGGCGGACGGGUGAGUAAUGUCUGGGAAACUGCCUGUUGGUGGGGGAUAACUACUGGAAACGGUAGCUAUUACCGCAUACCAUCGGAUGUGCCCAGAUGGGAUUAGAUAGUAGGUGGGGUAAAGGCUCACCUAGGCGACGAUCCCUAGCUGGUCUGAGAGGAUGACCAGCCACACUGGAACUGGGACACGGUCCAGACUCCGACGGGAGGCAGCAGUGGGGAAUAUUGGAGAAUGGGGGCAAGCCUGAUGCAGCCAUGCCGCGUGGAUGAAGAAGGCCUUCGGGUUGUAAAGGACUUUCAGCUGGGAGGCGGUACCAAAAGAAUAAGCCCCGGCUAACUUCGUGCCAGCAGCCGCGGUAAUAC